rnacentral:rRNA from 1 species
UACGUAGGGGGCAAGCGUUAUCCGGAUUUACUGGGUGUAAAGGGAGCGCAGAUGGCUGUGCAAGUCUGAUGUGAAAGGCUGGGGCUCAACCCCGGGACUGCAUUGGAAACUGUAUGGCUUGAGUGCCGGAGGGGUAAGCGGAAUUCCUGGUGUAGCGGUGAAAUGCGUAGAUAUCAGGAGGAACACCGGUGGCGAAGGCGGCUUACUGGACGGCAACUGACGUUCAUGCUCGAAAGCGUGGGGAG